GACAGAGGCCCCGAGCGUUAGGCGGAAUCACUGGGCUUAAAGCGUGUGUAGGCGGAUCGUUAAGUGUCUUGUGAAAUCCCACGGCUCACCCGUGGAACUGCUGGGCAUACUGGCGAUCUUGGGCCAUUCAGGGGCGACUGGAACAAGCGGUGGAGCGGUGAAAUGCGUAGAUAUCGCUUGGAACGCCAAAGGUGAAAACAGGUCGCUGGGGAUGUGCCGACGCUGAGACACGAAAGCCAGGGGAGCAAACGGG
rnacentral:rRNA from 1 species